CAUCUUCCGCUGUUGUAGCG
rnacentral:siRNA from 1 species